CAAGCCUGGGCGAAGAUGGCGGCGUCCAGAGCGAGCCUCUGAGAGGCGGAGGGAGGAGCGGAGGGGUGGGGGCCGCGGCGCAGGAAUCCGCGGCGACAGGCCCCGGCGGGGAAAAGGAAACCGAGAGGGGACGGGGCCGGCCUCGCCUCAUCCCGCUCGGGACGUGGAGCCGGCGGCGGGCGGAGCUCGGGCUGGAGCGCCUCCAGCCUCCGGCGAAGGUUUCAGCACAAAAUGAACAUAAUUAGGGAAAAUAAGGAUCUGGCAUGUUUCUACACAACCAAGCACUCAUGGAGGGGAAAGUAUAAGCGGGUCUUUUCAGUUGGAACCCAUGCAGUUACUACAUAUAAUCCCAAUACCUUAGAAGUAACAAAUCAGUGGCCUUAUGGAGACAUUUGCAGCAUCAGCCCUGUUGGAAAAGGACAAGGAACAGAGUUCAACCUCACAUUUCGUAAAGGAAGUGGGAAAAAGUCAGAAACGUUGAAGUUUUCUACAGAGCACAGAACAGAGCUACUUACGGAAGCUUUGAGAUUUAGAACUGACUUUGCUGAGGGAAAAAUCACAGGAAGGAGAUAUAACUGCUAUAAGCACCACUGGAGUGAUACAAGGAAGCCUGUGAUUCUGGAAGUAACUCCUGGAGGCUUUGACCAAAUAAAUCCUGUAACCAACAGAGUACUUUGUUCCUAUGACUAUAGGAAUAUUGAAGGCUUUGUAGAUCUUUCUGAUUAUCAAGGAGGAUUUUGUAUACUUUAUGGAGGAUUUAGUAGAUUGCAUUUAUUUGCAUCAGAACAAAGAGAAGAGAUUAUUAAAAGUGCAAUAGAACAUGCUGGCAACUACAUAGGGAUCUCACUGCGGAUCAGGAAAGAACCUUUAGAAUUUGAGCAAUAUUUGAAUCUUCGCUUUGGAAAAUACAGCACUGAUGAGUCUAUCACAUCUUUGGCAGAGUUUGUGGUCCAAAAAAUAUCUCCUAGACAUUCGGAACCUGUGAAGAGAGUUCUAGCAGUCACAGAAACAUGUUUAGUAGAACGAGAUCCAGCAACCUAUAAUAUUGCAACCUUGAAGCCCUUGGGAGAAGUGUUUGCAUUGGUUUGUGACUCGGAAAACCCACAACUUUUUACCAUUGAGUUUAUAAAAGGGCAGGUUCGGAAAUACUCAUCAACAGAAAGAGAUUCCUUGUUAGCAAGUUUGCUGGAUGGAGUAAGAGCCUCUGGUAACAGAGAUGUUUGUGUUAAGAUGACACCGACCCACAAAGGUCAGCGAUGGGGGUUACUCAGCAUGCCUAUAGACGAGGAAGUUGAGAGUCUUCACCUCAGAUUUCUAGCCACACCUCCUAAUGGCAACUUUGCUGAUGCUGUAUUCAGGUUCAACGCUAACAUUUCCUACAGCGGAGUUCUGCAUGCAGUAACGCAGGAUGGUCUCUUCUCAGAAAACAAGGAAAAACUAAUCAAUAAUGCCAUAACGGCAUUGUUGUCCCAAGAAGGAGAUGUUGUUGCUUCAAAUGCAGAACUUGAGAGCCAGUUCCAAGCUGUGAGGAGGCUUGUAGCCUCCAAAGCUGGUUUUCUGGCCUUCACUCAGCUUCCAAAGUUUCGGGAACGCCUAGGAGUGAAGGUAGUGAAAGCACUUAAGAGAAGCCACAAUGGCGUCGUCCACGCAGCUGUCGAUAUGCUCUGUGCCCUCAUGUGUCCCAUGCAUGAUGACUAUGACUUAAGACAGGAACAGCUAAACAAAGCUUCUCUUCUCUCUUCAAAGAAGUUUCUGGAAAACUUACUGGAGAAAUUUAAUUCCCACGUGGAUCAUGGGACUGGUGCCCUAGUAAUUAGUUCACUCUUGGACUUCCUUACCUUUGCCCUCUGUGCUCCAUAUAGUGAGACAACCGAAGGGCAGCAGUUUGAUAUGCUCUUAGAGAUGGUAGCCUCCAAUGGAAGAACCCUCUUUAAGCUCUUCCAGCAUCCUUCCAUGGCAAUUGUAAAGGGAGCUGGAUUGGUUAUGAAGGCAAUAAUAGAGGAAGGUGACAAAGAGAUUGCUACUAAGAUGCAGGAGCUUGCCCUAAGCGAGGGCGCCUUACCCCGACACUUGCACACUGCGAUGUUUACAAUCAGUUCAGAUCAACGCAUGCUUACAAACAGACAGCUAAGUAGACAUCUAGUGGGACUCUGGACAGCUGAUAAUACAACCGCCACAAACUUGUUGAAACGCAUUUUGCCACCAGGCUUGUUGGCAUACCUGGACAGCUCAGAUCCAGUUCCAGAGAAGGAUGCUGACCGCAUGCACGUCAGAGACAAUGUGAAAAUAGCAAUGGAUCAGUAUGGAAAAUUUAAUAAAGUUCCUGAGUGGCAAAGACUAGCUGGAAAAGCUGCCAAAGAAGUUGAAAAGUUUGCCAAAGAAAAAGUUGAUCUUGUGUUGAUGCAUUGGAGGGAUAGGAUGGGCAUUGCUCAAAAAGAGGACAAAAACCAUAUGAACAUAAAUCAAAAGCCAGUAGUUCUUCGAAAAAGAAGACAAAGAAUAAAAAUAGAAGCAAAUUGGGAUCUCUUCUAUUACAGGUUUAGUCAAGACCAUGCUAGAUCAAACCUCAUUUGGAAUUUUAAAACACGAGAAGAGCUGAAAGAUGCCCUUGAGUCUGAAAUGAGAACGUUCAACAUUGACAGAGAGCUUGGCAGUGCCAGUGUCAUCUCCUGGAACCACCAUGAAUUUGAGGUUAAGUAUGAGUGCCUGGCAGAGGAAAUCAAAAUAGGAGAUUAUUACUUAAGAUUGCUGUUGGAAGAAGAUGAGAAUGAAGAAAGCGGAUCAAUAAAGAGAUCGUAUGAAUUUUUCAAUGAGCUCUAUCAUCGCUUCCUGCUCACCCCAAAAGUAAACAUGAAGUGUUUGUGUUUACAAGCCCUUGCGAUUGUUUACGGCAGAUGCCAUGAAGAAAUAGGGCCCUUCACAGAUACAAGAUACAUCAUUGGGAUGUUAGAAAGGUGCACUGAUAAACUUGAACGGGAUAGACUGAUCCUCUUCCUGAACAAGCUGAUCCUUAAUAAGAAAAACGUUAAAGAUCUCAUGGACUCAAAUGGCAUUAGAAUUCUUGUGGACUUACUUACCCUUGCACAUCUUCACGUGAGCCGGGCAACAGUUCCCCUGCAAAGCAAUGUGAUUGAAGCCUCUCCAGAUAUGAAGAGAGAGAGUGAGAAGGAAUGGUAUUUUGGCAAUGCAGACAAAGAAAGGAGUGGUCCGUAUGGAUUUCACGAGAUGCAAGAAUUAUGGGCCAAAGGAAUGUUGAAUGCAAAAACCAGAUGUUGGGCUCAAGGCAUGGAUGGAUGGCGACCUCUCCAGGCGAUACCUCAGCUUAAGUGGUGCCUAUUAGCCAGUGGGCAGGCUGUUCUGAAUGAAACUGACCUUGCUACUUUAAUACUGAACAUGUUGAUCACAAUGUGUGGAUAUUUUCCAAGCAGGGAUCAGGACAAUGCCAUCAUUCGUCCUUUGCCCAAAGUGAAGCGACUGCUGUCAGACAGCACCUGCCUUCCUCAUGUCAUCCAGCUACUGCUGACCUUUGACCCUAUCCUUGUUGAAAAGGUUGCUAUCUUAUUAUACCACAUUAUGCAAGAUAAUCCUCAGUUACCUCGCCUCUAUCUCAGUGGAGUGUUUUUCUUCAUCAUGAUGUACACAGGUUCCAACGUGCUUCCUGUUGCUCGGUUUUUGAAAUAUACUCAUACCAAGCAGGCUUUCAAAUCCGAGGAGACUAAAGGACAGGAUAUUUUUCAGAGAAGUAUACUUGGACAUAUCCUACCUGAAGCAAUGGUUUGCUACCUAGAAAAUUAUGAACCUGAGAAGUUUUCUGAGAUUUUCCUAGGUGAAUUUGACACUCCAGAAGCAAUCUGGAGCAGCGAAAUGAGGCGCCUCAUGAUAGAGAAGAUUGCUGCCCAUCUUGCUGACUUUACACCUCGCCUGCAGAGCAAUACAAGAGCACUUUAUCAAUAUUGUCCCAUCCCGGUUAUCAAUUAUCCACAGCUAGAAAAUGAACUAUUUUGUAAUAUUUAUUACCUCAAACAACUUUGUGAUACACUCCGGUUUCCAGAUUGGCCAAUUAAAGACCCAGUUAAGCUUCUGAAAGAUUCACUUGAUGCUUGGAAGAAGGAAGUGGAAAAGAAGCCGCCCAUGAUGUCAAUAGAUGAUGCUUACGAAGUGCUCAGUCUGCCUGCGGGCCAGGGGCUGCAUGAUGAAAGCAAGAUUAGAAAAGCUUACUUCAGACUCGCACAGAAGUACCAUCCCGAUAAGAAUCCGGAAGGAAGGGACAUGUUUGAAAAAGUAAAUAAAGCGUAUGAAUUUUUAUGUACCAAGUCAACAAAAAUAGUGGAUGGGCCAGAUCCAGAGAAUAUAAUUUUAAUUCUGAAAACACAGAGCAUCCUUUUCAACCGACAUAAAGAAGAGUUACAGCCUUAUAAAUAUGCAGGAUACCCCAUGCUAAUUAGGACCAUAACAAUGGAGACUUCAGAUGACCUCCUUUUCUCAAAAGAGUCACCACUGUUGCCUGCUGCUGCAGAGCUGGCUUUCCACACAGUCAACUGCUCAGCCCUCAAUGCUGAAGAGCUCAGAAGAGAGAAAGGGUUAGAGGUGUUACAGGAGGCAUUUAGUCGCUGCGUGGCUGUCCUGAAUCGCUCCAGUAAACCAAGGGACAUGUCAGUGCAGGUGUGUGGACACAUAAGCAGAUGCUAUAGCGUGGCUGCGCAGUUUGAAGAGUGCCGGGAGAAGAUCACAGAAAUGCCCGGCAUCAUCAAGGACCUCUGCCGGGUGCUGUAUUUUGGCAAGAGUAUCCCACGGGUGGCCGCCCUCGCAGUGGAAUGUGUCAGUUCUUUUGCGGUAGACUUCUGGUUACAGACACAUCUAUUUCAGGCUGGAAUUUUAUGGCAUCUACUUGGUUAUCUGUUUAACUAUGACUAUACAUUGGAAGAGAGUGGCAUUCAGAAAAACGAAGAAACCAACCAGCAGGAAGUGGCCAACAGUCUUGCCAAACUCAGUGUCCAUGCUCUGAGUCGACUUGGUGGAUAUUUACUUGAUGACCAAGCAACCCCAGAAAAUCCAACUGUAAGGAAGAGUUUGGCUGGCAUGCUGACACCCUACAUUGCUAGAAAGCUAGCUGUGGCUAGUGCUACUGAGAUUCUGAAGAUGCUUAACAGCAACACAGAGAACCCUUACCUGAUGUGGAACAAUUCUACAAGAGCGGAACUGCUUGAAUUUCUUGAGUCACAACAAGAAAAUAUGAUUAAAAAGGGUGAUUGUGACAAAACUUACGGGGCAGAAUUUGUCUACAGUGACCAUGCCAAAGAACUGAUUGUGGGCGAGAUUUUUGUUAGAGUAUAUAAUGAAGUCCCAACUUUUCAGCUAGAGGUUCCAAAAGAGUUUGCUGCGAGUCUCUUGGAUUACAUAGGCUCUCAGGCCCAGUACCUCCACACGUUCAUGGCCAUCACUCAUACUGCAAAAGUGGAGUCAGAGCAGCAUGGGGACCGCUUACCGAGAGUGGAAAUGGCUCUGGAGGCUCUGAGAAAUGUCAUCAAAUACAACCCAGGUUCUGAAAGUGAAUGCAUUGGGCACUUUAAGUUAAUAUUUUCUCUGCUCCGAGUCCAUGGAGCUGGUCAAGUGCAGCAGCUGGCUUUGGAGGUUGUGAAUAUAGUGACAUCCAACCAAGACUGUGUCAAUAAUAUUGCAGAAUCCAUGGUUUUGUCCAAUUUGUUGGCUCUUCUACAUUCAUUGCCAUCAAGCCGACAGCUUGUUCUAGAGACUCUCUAUGCUUUGGCAUCGAAUACAAAGAUAAUCAAAGAAGCCAUGGCAAAGGGAGCUUUGAUUUAUUUACUGGAUAUGUUCUGCAAUUCAACACAUCCACAGGUUCGGUCCCAGACAGCAGAACUUUUUGCUAAAAUGACAGCAGAUAAAUUAAUAGGUCCAAAGGUUCGAAUCACAUUAAUGAAAUUUCUGCCCAGUGUGUUCAUGGAUGCCAUGAGAGACAACCCUGAAGCUGCUGUGCAUAUAUUUGAGGGGACUCAUGAAAAUCCAGAGCUGAUCUGGAAUGACAGUUCCAGGGACAAGGUGUCUACAACUGUGAGAGAGAUGAUGCUAGAGCACUUUAAAAACCAACGGGAUAACCCUGAUGUGAACUGGAAGUUGCCUGAAGAUUUUGCUGUGCUGUUUGGAGAAGCAGAAGGUGAACUCGCUGUUGGAGGAGUGUUCUUGAGAAUCUUUAUUGCACAGCCAGCUUGGGUGCUAAGAAAACCCAGAGAAUUUCUUAUUGCAUUGUUAGAAAAAUUAACUGAGCUCCUGGAAAAGAACAAUCCACAUGGAGAGACUCUGGAAACCCUGACAAUGGCCACGGUUUGUCUCUUCAGUGCACAGCCUCAGCUGGCAGAUCAAGUCCCACCGUUGGGACAUCUUCCCAAAGUUCUCCAGGCGAUGAAUCACAGGAAUAAUGCCAUCCCCAAGAGUGCUAUUCGUGUUGUUCACGCCUUGUCUGACAAUGAGCUGUGUGUUCGAGCCAUGGCAUCUUUGGAGACCAUUGGCCCACUGAUGAAUGGAAUGAAAAAGCGAGCGGAUACUAUUGGUCUGGCCUGUGAAGCAAUUAAUCGAAUGUUCCAAAAAGAACAGAAUGAAUUAGUGGCACAGGCUCUGAAAGCAGAGUUGGUCCCAUACCUCUUAAAGUUGCUUGAAGGCAUAGGCCUUGAAAACAUAGACAGUCCUGCCGCUACUAAGGCCCAGAUUGUUAAAGCUCUCAAGGCAAUGACUCGAAGUCUGCAGUACGGAGAACAGGUGAAUGAAAUCCUCUCCCGCUCUUCAGUCUGGAGUGCCUUCAAAGACCAGAAACAUGAUUUAUUCAUUUCUGACUCUCAAACAGCAGGAUACCUCACAGGUGUCUCUCCUUCCCUUCUAACUGGCAGCAGCCCCCUUCAUCUCAGGAGUGGGCUUUAGAACCGCUCUGCCAGGCAGCUUGCUAACUUCUGUGUAGCUCUCUGGAGCAGGACCUGGAGUUGCUGGCUACCUUACUGCAGGUACAUCCUCAUCAGCCAUGUCUAACCUUCCGCCUCCCGUAGACCAUGAGGCAGGAGACCUUGGCUUUCAAACUUGAAACACUCAGAGACAAUAAAUGCUGAAAGGCCAGUGCUGCAUCCACAUUCCUCCAGCCAACAUGUUGAAACAGACUCUUGCUGCCUUUCUCCUGGUUUCAUGACAGUGUUAUUCCUUUUUCUAUAAAUAUAUUUUUAUUUAGGAAAAGAGUCAGUGAUUCUGACAUACCACGUUUUGAGAAAGCACUCUGGGUCAGCCUCCAUGGGUACACAAGAAUUUCUUUUUCUUGGUGUAUGUAAGCACAUUUUGUUCUUUUUUAUCUGUUUACAAGACUGUGAAUCAAAAAGACAAACUUUCCUCCUAGUUUUUAUAACGUUUUUCUUUUUUUUUUUUUUUAAUUACUGUGACUGUGGAGUUAAGCUGCAGUCUACAGACAUUGGGCUAAAUCUUGUCCCCAAGAAAGGGCACUUCCCUUCACUGCACCGAAUCUCCAUGGCCAUCUUCCUCCAUCAUCAGACAUUAGGUUUCUGUCCCUCCACCUGUGACCAGAUCCUCAAUCCUUAAUUCUCCAAGAGCUCGGUGCACAUUGGUGUGUAGACAGGCUUCACCAAACUGAUAAGGAGCUUGUGCAAAAAAAUUAAAGUAAAAAUGGAUGUCAAGAUGUUAUGUAAGAGAUUAGUGUAAUUGUGAAAUGUUCUAUACAUUAUCAAAUAUAUAAAGCUUUCUAUAUUGAAUGUACAUUAUACAGAUCAUUCAUAUGUGUACAUAAAAUUUUAAAAAUAAAGGGAAUUGACUGCUUUGUUAA